GUUCUUGUAGUUGAAUACAACAAUAGUUUUUCAGAUUAUUAGUCUAGGUUUAAGUCCUUGCAGGAAUA
rnacentral:tRNA from 1 species